rnacentral:rRNA from 1 species
CUAAGCAUAUCAAUAAGCGGAGGAAAAGAAACCAACAGGGAUUGCCCUAGUAACGGCGAGUGAAGCGGCAACAGCUCAAAUUUGAAAUCUGGCUCUCUUUGGGGGUCCGAGUUGUAAUUUGCAGAGGAUGCUUUGGCAUUGGCGGCGGUCUAAGUUCCUUGGAACAGGACAUCGCAGAGGGUGAGAAUCCCGUACGUGGGCGCCUGCCUUUGCCGUGUAAAGCUCCUUCGACGAGUCGAGUUGUUUGGGAAUGCAGCUCUAAAUGGGAGGUAAAUUUCUUCUAAAGCUAAAUACCGGCCAGAGACCGAUAGCGCACAAGUAGAGUGAUCGAAAGAUGAAAAGUACUUUGGAAAGAGAGUCAAAAAGCACGUGAAAUUGUUGAAAGGGAAGCGCUUGCAGCCAGACUUGCCCGCAGUUGCUCACCUAGGCUUUGGCCUGGGGCACUCUUCUGCGGGCAGGCCAGCAUCAGUUUGGGCGGUUGGAUAAAGGCCUCUGUCACGUAUCUUCCUUCGGGAUGACCUUAUAGGGGAGGCGUAAUGCAACCAGCCCGGACUGAGGUCCGCGCAUCUGCUAGGAUGCUGGCGUAAUGGCUGUAAGCGGCCCGUCUUGAAACACGGACCAAGGAGUCUAACAUCUAUGCGAGUGUUUGGGUGUCAAGCCCGGGCGCGCAAUGAAAGUGAACGGAGGUGGGAACCCUUUGGGUGCACCAUCGACCGAUCCUGAUGUCUUCGGAUGGAUUUGAGUAAGAGCAUAGCUGUUGGGACCCGAAAGAUGGUGAACUAUGCUUGAAUAGGGUGAAGCCAGAGGAAACUCUGGUGGAGGCUCGCAGCGGUUCUGACGUGCAAAUCGAUCGUCAAAUUUGGGCAUAGGGGCGAAAGACUAAUCGAAC